UUUAAUAGAUAAGAAUAAACUACUUCCUUGGAGUUUACUGAAGAAAGAAAUAGGAUGCAAUGAUAUAAUUAAACAGCUUGCAGAUGCUAAGGGUAUUGUAAUGUCAUUAAUUUAAUUAAUCAGGAGAAUACUUUCUGUUCUGUACCCGAUUUCCUUAUGAGUUUUGAAAAUAAAACUGAACAAAGUGGUCCAAUAAACAUAAUCUGAAAUUGAUUAUCCCCAGAUUCUAUCAACUAAGAGUGUAGGCUAGCGAGAGGUGUUUCACCUGCAUUUUCACACCAGAAAAACCCAUCUGCCUAGAUUCUGUUUUAUUUCUUCAUUACAGAUAGCAGCAACUAUUUCUCUUUCUAGCUCUGGUUGUAGUAGAAACAUUGAGAAGUGCAAGUUAUUGUGGAGGGGAAAGAUUUUUUUAUUCAAAGUUCACAUCUCUAAGCAGUAUUGUAACAUAUUCUGGGAAGCAGGCAGCUAUUUUCCCUGGAAGUGUUCCCAAUCUGUUCUACAACGCCCAAAACACAUACUUGCUUAGUUCCCUAGAACACAAGCUACUGCUUCCCAGAAUAUUAGACCAAAGGCCACUGGCACACUGAACCUUAUUCAUUUUGCUUCCCCUUCUUCCUUGUAAUAUAUAUGUUGGGUUUUUUUUUGUAUUGCCAUAUCUGUUUUCCUUUUUGAAUCUGGUCUUCUAAAAACCAAUUCAAAACCCCCCAAAACCACAUACUGAUUACUGAUUAAGGGCUUCAUAUUCAGUAUCCUUUCUCUAAAUUGUCACACUGAUCAAGAUUCUGUAAUUCAGAGGGAGGUAAACAAAAAAUUUUCUAACAGUUCAGUACAUUAAGUUUACCUGGCUCACACUAAUCACAGAAUGUUUUAGCUGGAUUAAGGUCACAAAAUAUAUUUUAAAAUUGUGAUUUACAAAUAUGAACAUACAACUCCAAGGCAUACAGUAUAUUUGGUAUGCUGUUUAAAUAUCUCCACAGGAAUAAAUGUACAUCCUUUCACAUAACAAAUGACUGAAAUCCAUGACUGAAAGUAGCAACAAACCUAACAUACAAACCCAUUAGAAGAGUAUAUAAGUUUUCAGAAGUUAACUUUACUCUUUCUGUUUUCCCAAUAUUUUUUAUAGACUAUUGAUUUAACAUUAUUUACCAUCAGUACCUAGAGACAUUAGUUACUUCAGUUGAAGUCUUUGAAAGUCUUUUUUCAUAUUUAACUGAGAUAUUACAAGAUGGAACACAUUUUUUACCUUUUUAAUAACAAAGAUAUUGAAGUGAUUUGCCACAACAAUUUACAACUGACAAAAACAUUAGGCACACUGAUACAUGCAUUAUGGAGCACGCAUUUUCACACCAGUAAAACAGAGCUUAGGGGCAAAACAACUCUAAAACCUAUAUUAAUCAGGUAUACUUUUAUGGUCACAAUGCUAACAGAGAUAAUGAGACAUCAUUCUACAUAUAAAUAAAAACACUUAUCAUCUUUCAAGUAUUUUAUUUUAGUACUUUUAAAUAUGUUUUAAUACAACAAAGAUAUAAAACAAUAUAUUAAUUCAUUCUGAGUUUAGAAUCAAAACAAUAUUUACUUAUUUACAGUACUUGUUUUAAACUUUACUGCCAUAACUUCUAGCCAUUAAGUAAUACUACUUUCUCUGUCAGAAAAAAAUUGAAGUAACUGUUCAGUGUGAAAAGCUAUGUUUCUACAUCCCUAUUAUGUUAAGUACCAUGUACAAUGCAGUCUGUGAUUUCUCACAAUUGAGAAAUUUCUUGUAUUUGACAGAACUGAACUGUAAGAGUGAAACUAAGGUACAGUUAGUCUUUCUAACUACGCAGUCACUGGGCUAAUAAAUCAGAUUAUUGUGCUCCACAUUUAUCAUCUUAAGUUCUUACACACCUAUUAUAAACUUGUUUUAAAAAUGUGCAUGUCACUGAAUUAUGUACAUAAUACUCACUGCAAAUUUCUUAAGAUACAAAUUAUAAGUAUGCAGAAUACUGCUAUAUGGAAAGUUCAGUGUUCACAAUACUAUAGCAUUUGAGGAGUUGUAAAAGGUUUUUUUGGUGUUUAUUCACCAUAUAAUGAACUAGACAUCAGUAGGUUCACUCCAAAGGACUUUUUUCCCCAGGAAUACUGUUUCAGUUGGAAUACUGACAAUGUCAAAGAUACAUCAGAAAUAGUAAUCUGUAUGAAUCAUCAGUGGUCUAUCAAUUAACCCCUGACUGAUAAAGUCGACAUGCACAAAAUGAUUCAGAGGGUAAAACUGGCUCACUGCUAGCAGUUCUGCCAAAUAUACUUCUAUCUUGACACAACUAUGAUGGUUUUUGUAGUUACAGGUCAAGUUUCUAUAGAAGUAUCCUAGUUUAUUUUAAAAAUCCCGAAAAAAAAUCAAUAUUGUCUGUAGAUUACUGCAAAUUCUCACCAACUCUUCAGUAGAAACUAUAUGACCAGCAUGAAAAGCUAUCAUAGUUAUAUUUCUGUUAUAUUCUAGGUCCACAAAACCUACUUGUUUUUCUUAAGACAUCUGCUAUUUCUUCAAAUGCAUAUUUAAUGAUUAAGACUCAUCUCCACAAUAGUUUUGGUGCUUGAAAACUGAGUGGACUUUCAUAUAUCAAAAAAGUAGCUAAAUAGUAAUGAACAGGUGUACCACUAAGUAUGCAAGCACUGCUUAAAAAAUGCAAUGAGAUACUAACUGUUGCAAGAGACUGGUACUGAUGUCCAAGUUCAACCCUUUCCUCUUUCCCCUUCAAUACUCUUUUUGGCAUGACUUGAGAUGCAGCCAUACAGAAGAGUAUAGGAAUCUGUGCUUUUAUCCCCACUGAAGGGUUUUAAUACUUCUAAAUAACCUUAACAUGCUUGCAUCAAAAAAAUUUUUUUUUCUUACAUGAUUUAACUGACUCUUGCUUCUUAAAGCAGCUAAUUACUCAGGGGGUUUUUUGAUGCCUUUUUUUUUCCAGAUUUAUUCCCUCAGAACCCAGUGAAGUGGUAGUUUCUUCAAAAUUAUAUUGGAAUGUUUUUUUUCUAGAGUAGAAGGGAGCAGGGGGGAAAUAAUGGAAAACCAAAAAGGAAGUGACAUUACCUGUUGUUAUUACUGUAGCAGUAUACCACGCACAGCAUGCACUUCGUCUUAUCCAAGAAAACACAAACUAAAAUGGUGACCCUCCCGGUCAAGAAUAUUUAGUGAUUUAAAGUUAAGCAUAUAAUUUGCUUCAUCACAAGCAGUGUAUUUACAGAAUCCAAUUCUUGCUAGUCUUGGACAUUUACAAACUUCAGGCCUACCUACAUUUCUGUACCAACACUCUGUAUAAGUGUUAUCUUGUUUGCCAAAGGACAUGAAGAUAAUUAGCACAUAUGGAAGCUUUGUAUAUCACUAUUCAAGAACAGUUUUAGGAACCUUGCUUAAUGAUCCUUCCAUAAGCUUUUUUCACCAUAAUCAGAAUUUGCCAAAACACACAUAUGUGAAAGUAAUUUCUGUAUGCAGGUGUAACGUCAUAAACCCACUAGUUUAGGGGAUCUUCCAGAAAGGAAAAAAUAAAGGCAAAAAGUUUAGAAAAGCUAUUAUAAAAAGCUGUGGCAUAAGGUACAACCCCCCCAAAAAACCCAAAAACGACCAGAGGGGGAGUGCCUCUGUCUCUAUCACUUUCAGGUAUGUGCAUACAUAUCCCCAAACAUAAUAAGGAAGAGCUCAAAACAAUUGUCAAGUCUCCAAGUCUCAAAUAUUGCUAGAUUUGCUGAGCUAUUAAAAAUAUGUGACCCUCCCUUCUUUUUUGUAUAUUCAGAGUUACUCAGUUACGAGUUUUCCACUUCAUUAUUUUGUGCACUUUGUAGUACCAGACUAAUGUUAGACACUUGCACUUGCUGGAGUAACACUUCAAGGUCCUUUCCAACCUAGCUGAUUCUGUGUGAUUCUGUGUGAAUUCAGGUUAUGUGUGCACUCCCACAGACCACAGAAGAUGACUUUGGACAAAACAAGCACAGCAAGUUAAAGAACAGCAAAAAGACUGGUGCAUGAAUGUAAGGGAAAAGGGCAACCCUAAACAUACUUAUUAAAUUCAAGGCCCAACGAUGCUCUGCUGCCUUAAGUGUUUGACAGCAGCAAAGCUGCUGCAAAAUGCUUCUAAAACACUGUAAAGCUUACAUUACCAACUUUACAGGUUGACCUGUGCUCUCUGCAUACAAGAUCAGAUUUUUCUGGUUUCUAUCAAUUUCAAGCUUUCUUCUUGCGUGUUUAUAGACAGACAAAAUGAACUUCCAAAAUAGAUGAGGACAAUUAUCCUAUCAAUGUUUUAAUCUGCUUCAAUGCUCACAAAAUCAACCUCUGUGUAUUCCUUAUCUUGGAUUCAGAUAUUUAGCAUCAAGAGAAACACAAAAGAACAAGUUUCCUUUAAAAAACACUGAUAGGCUAUGCUGAUUUAAAACAUGGAUUUACUGAAUGGAAUUUGAAAAAUUAAAUUAGAACAAAGAAAGAAGCCUUAUGUUUAAAAGUAUAUGAACUUCAUUUUUAAAAAGUUGUAUUGAAAUGUUAGCUUUACUUCACGUAAACAUUGUUACACUGGGCUGUACUUGACAAUUCUGCAUGUUUAAGUUGCAAAAUAAUUUUUCAGUUUAGACACAGCUAUGCCAGUUAGCAGUAACAUGGUUCUUGUCAGAAUCAACACCUUAGCAAGUUUAACUGCAUACCUCUCCAUGUUAGAAUACAAUCCUGCACCUCCUGAGAAUGGAUAUUUCCUAGAGUUUAAAAAAAAUAGCAUGUGUGUGCAUUGCAAAGGCAAAUAUAAAUUAAUAGAGCUCUUUGAUUAUAAAGUCUCAAGAGGAAUGUUCAAAUUGCCUUUCUGAAAUCAGAAAGGUAAGAACAGCAAAUGAAAAGUCUAAAUCUUCCAGAAUAUCUUUUUUUUUUUUUUUUCUUAAGUGUAAGCAUACUCCCCCAGUUUGGACGGCAAGAACCAUCAGUCAAUGUCAGAUUGAACAAUACAAUAUUAAACCUGCAAAUUUGCUAAAAAAUUGGAAUGCUACCAAUAUAAAAGUCUGCCAUAUAGUACAAAGUAUAUGUGCUCAAUACAGUUGGCAGAGAUACUCUAAGAUGCAAAAUUCCUCUGUAAAAUAGGAGCUGAAUUAAGUUACAAAAGUAAUAUACUACGAAGAGCGGAAGAUAGUCAAGUUAGUACAAUCCACGUUUAUAAAAGGAACACAAUACAGCGAGGAGCAGCCCACAGUAGGUUACAAGCCUCCAAAUACAGACUGUCUUGCAAAAUGCCAAAGGGAUUCUUUUCCAUGCAAAUAUUGUGGCCACUAAGUCAGCUUGUACCAAGCUGGAAGUGUUUUGUAUAACUUUCCUAGGCUGACUUUUGCACAUAUCACCUAUUCUGAAGUUGCAAUAACCAAAUUUAAAGGUCCAUACCAUUUUUAUGUUCUGCAACUUUUACCUAUCAGUUUUCAUGUAGCAGAAGUCUAAAGUCUCUACAGCCAACAUCAGUGUUGUCUCCUUACAAACCACCACAUAAGAGAUCACUGUGCCAGCUUAGUCAUUAUGGACUUGGAGUGUUGGGUUGGGGGUUUUGGGGUUUUUU